rnacentral:sRNA from 1 species
UGCCAUGUAUGCGCGAACUCGCGCAAGAG